rnacentral:rRNA from 1 species
UGGCGGACGGGUGAGUAAUGUCUGGGAAACUGCCUGAUGGAGGGGGAUAACUACUGGAAACGGUAGCUAAUACCGCAUAACGUCGCAAGACCAAAGAGGGGGACCUUCGGGCCUCUUGCCAUCGGAUGUGCCCAGAUGGGAUUAGCUAGUAGGUGGGGUAACGGCUCACCUAAGCGACGAUCCCUAGCUGGUCUGAGAGGAUGACCAGCCACACUGGAACUGAGACACGGUCCAG